rnacentral:lncRNA from 1 species
GAACUUUGCCGGGUGUGCACCAACCGCCGCUGCCGGUCACCCUUGAAGGAGCGGGGUUCCUGGUCAUCUCAUAUAACGUCCCCAGGCUCCUGAGGGAAAUCUUGUGUUCCGGUGCCUCUACAGGUCAGAGCAGAACCAACCACACCCCAACUAGCAGAAUUAGAUUGUCCAGAAUCUCAGGAGCGGAAUCUGCACCCUGCGCUCCUCUGACAAAGGAUGAGUCGUGAAGUCCGGACCACCGCACACAAUGGUUUGGGGAAGAACAUUCCAGUCACUCCGACAUUUCACUUUUGGGAAGUGGGCGUGGACGCAGGGGAAGACUUCUACACUAUCACUUGUUUUAUUUUUAUAUUUUAACUGUGAUCUUCUGUUGGUUUUAUAAAUU